CUACAACGCACUUUCUCAGGGAUUCUCAAACUUCCUCCCACCUCACAUCCUUUUAAGGCAAGUGAGUGUGGGAACUCUGGUUCAGGGAAGUUAAAUCACUUGCCUAAGGUCAUGCAGAUCAUUAAUGCCAUAGCCAAGACCUGAGCACGUUCUCCUAAAGCCAGGUCAGGCCUCUUGUCACAUACUCCAUUGACUCUAGUGCCUAACCCAUGCUCAUCACAGAGCUCACAUUGGAACCAUUGUUAAACAGACUCUAAUGGAAAUGACUUCGUUCAGCUGGUGAACAUUUUGGAAGAUUCCAGAAAAACAUGAACAAGUGUUUGAGUGCUCUUAAGGGGAUUGUCUAAUAUCUUGGCUCCUGACUCAUCCUUAGAAGUCUUCCAGCCACCUUGUACCCAUUUCAAGCCCAAGGGCUCUUUAACGUAAAUGAGUUACUGAGCAGGUUAAUGGGACCUGGACUGGAA
rnacentral:lncRNA from 10 species